rnacentral:tRNA from 1 species
GGGCGCUUAGCUCAGUCGGUAGAGCAUCUGACUUUUAAUCAGGGGGUCACAGGUUCGAAUCCUGUAGCGCCCA